rfam:Danio rerio chromosome 15, GRCz11 reference primary assembly.
CCAGGCUGAGGUAGUAGGUUGUAUGGUUUAGAAUUUUGCCCUGGGAGUUAACUGUACAACCUUCUAGCUUUCCUUG